AGGACGAACGCUGGCGGCGUGCUUAACACAUGCAAGUCGAGCGGUAAGGCCUUUCGGGGUACACGAGCGGCGAACGGGUGAGUAACACGUGGGUGAUCUGCCCUGCACUCUGGGAUAAGCCUGGGAAACUGGGUCUAAUACCGGAUAUGACCUGCUCUCGCAUGGGGGUGGGUGGAAAGAUUUAUCGGUGCAGGAUGGGCCCGCGGCCUAUCAGCUUGUUGGUGGGUAAUGGCCUACCAAGGCGACGACGGUA
rnacentral:rRNA from 1 species